AGUCAACCUACCCUAUGGACGGGAAUAACCUCGGGAAACUGAGAAUAAUGCCCGAUAGAACAUUAUGCCUGGAAUGGUUUAUGUUCCAAAUGAUUUAUCGCCGUAGGAUGGGACUGCGGCCUAUCAGUUUGUUGGUGAGGUAAUGGCCCACCAAGACUAUUACAGGUACGGGCUCUGAGAGGAGUGGCCCGGAGAUGGGUACUGAGACACGGACCCAGGCCCUAUGGGGCGCAGCAGGCGAGAAAACUUUGCAAUGUGCGAAAGCACGACAAGGUUAAUCCGAGUGGUUUCUGCUAAAGGGACCUUUUGACAGUCCUAGAAACACUGUUGAAUAAGGGGCGGGCAAGUUCUGGUGUCAGCCGCCGCGGUAAAACCAGCACCUCAAGUGGUCAGGAUGAUUAUUGGGCCUAAAGCACCCGUAGCCGGCUCUGUAAGUUUUCGGUUAAAUCUAUACGCUCAACGUAUAGGCUGCCGGGAAUACUGCAGAGCUAGGGAGUGGGAGAGGUAGACGGUACUCGGUAGGAAGGGGUAAAAUCCUUUGAUCUAUUGAUGACCACCUGUGGCGAAGGCGGUCUACCAGAACACGUCCGACGGUGAGGGAUGAAAGCUGGGGGAGCAAACCGGAUUAGAUACCCGGGUAGUCCCAGCUGUAAACUAUGCAAACUCAGUGAUGCAUUGGCUUGUGGCCAAUGCAGUGCUGCAGGGAAGCCGUUAAGUUUGCCGCCUGGGAAGUACGUACGCAAGUAGAAACUUAA
rnacentral:rRNA from 1 species